GACUCUCGGCAACGGAUAUUUCGGCUCUCGCAUCGAUGAAGAACGUAGCGAAAUGCGAUACCUGGUGUGAAUUGCAGAAUCCCGCGAACCAUCGAGUCUUUGAACGCAAGUUGCGUCCGAGGCCACUCGGCCGAGGGCACGCCUGCCUGGGCGUCA
rnacentral:rRNA from 1 species